GAUGAACGCUGGCGGCGUGCCUAAUACAUGCAAGUCGAGCGAACAGACGAGGAGCUUGCUCCUCUGACGUUAGCGGCGGACGGGUGAGUAACACGUGGAUAACCUACCUAUAAGACUGGGAUAACUUCGGGAAACCGGAGCUAAUACCGGAUAAUAUAUUGAACCGCAUGGUUCAAUAGUGAAAGACGGUUUUGCUGUCACUUAUAGAUGGAUCCGCGCCGCAUUAGCUAGUUGGUAAGGUAACAGCUUACCAAGGCAACGAUGCGUAGCCGACCUGAGAGGGUGAUCGGCCACACUGGAACUGAGACACGGUCCAGACUCCUACGGGAGGCAGCAGUAGGGAAUCUUCCGCAAUGGGCGAAAGCCUGACGGAGCAACGCCGCGUGAGUGAUGAAGGUCUUCGGAUCGUAAAACUCUGUUAUUAGGGAAGAACAAAUGUGUGAGUAACUAUGCACGUCUUGACGGUACCUAAUCAGAAAGCCACGGCUAACUACGUG
rnacentral:rRNA from 1 species